rnacentral:tRNA from 1 species
UAGGUUGAAGUUUAAUGUUUGAGCAUUUGGCCGUUAACCAAAGAGUAGCGGGAUAAAUACCUGCCAACCUAA